UUAUGAAUUUGAAGCCUUCCACUCAGUGUAUUUGACAAGCUGAGUUCGACACUCAAUUAAGCAGGGUGUCAGUUUGUCAAAUACCCCAAGUGAGAGGCUGUCUGAC
rnacentral:pre_miRNA from 1 species